AGUCGGCUGUGCGGCUGCGGUGGAGGAAACUUCAACGAGGAAAGUCCGAGCUUCACAGAGCAGAAUGACGGAUAACGUCCGCCGAAGGUGACUUCAGGGAAAGUGCAACAGAAAAUUACCGCCCGAAAGGGUAAGGAUGAAAAGGCGAGGUAAAAGCUCACCGGCGAAGCGGUAACGUUUCGCGUCAGUGUAAACCCCAUUCGAAGCAAGAUAGGAAAAUACCGGAUACGGCUGCUCGUCGCGGUAUUUUCGCAAAACGUCGCUUGAGUCCGUCGGUAACGACGGACGUAGAUAGAUAGUCGCACCAGACAGAACUCGGCUUAUAGGCCGACUUG
rnacentral:RNase_P_RNA from 1 species